ACAUACGUAAGGAAUCAGCUCGGCUCGACUCUCCCACCCUUUGUGAACGUACCUCUGUUGCUUUGGCGGCUCCGGCCGCCAAAGGACCUUCAAACUCCAGUCAGUAAACGCAGACGUCUGAUAAACAAGUUAAUAAACUAAAACUUUCAACAACGGAUCUCUUGGUUCUGGCAUCGAUGAAGAACGCAGCGAAAUGCGAUAAGUAAUGUGAAUUGCAGAAUUCAGUGAAUCAUCGAAUCUUUGAACGCACAUUGCGCCCCUUGGUAUUCCGGGGGGCAUGCCUGUUCGAGCGUCAUUACAACCCUCAAGCUCUGCUUGGAAUUGGGCACCGUCCUCACUGCGGACGCGCCUCAAAGACCUCGGCGGUGGCUGUUCAGCCCUCAAGCGUAGUAGAAUACACCUCGCUUUGGAGCGGUUGGCGUCCCCCGCCGGACGAACCUUCUGAACUUUUCUCAAGGUUGACCUCGGAUCAGGUAGGGAUACCCGCUGAACGUCAGCAUAUCAAUAUGCCGAGG
rnacentral:rRNA from 1 species